rnacentral:tRNA from 6 species
GUCCCAGUAGCUCAACGGAUAGAGCAACCGUGUUCUAAACGGUAGGUUGGGGGUUCGAAUCCCUCCUGGGAUA